UACGGAGGGUGCAAGCAUUAAUCGGAUUUAUUGGGCGUAAAGGGCGCGUAGGCGGGUUUGUAAGUCAGAUGUGAAAUCCCGGGGCUCAACCUCGGAACAGCAUUUGAAACUGCAUACCUAGAGGGUAGGCGGAGAAAACGGAAUUCCACAAGUAGCGGUGAAAUGCGUAGAUAUGUGGAAGAACACCGGUGGCGAAGGCGGUUUUCUAGCUUACUCCUGACGGCUGAGGCGCGAAAGCAAGGGGAUCAAACAGG
rnacentral:rRNA from 1 species